GGAUAAGUGGUUAGCGGUUAGCACGUUCACCUCACACCUCAAGGGUUGGGGGUUCGAUUCCCGCCGCUGCCCG